ACGUUAAUAGACGUGCUUGUUUGACGUUUAGCUUGCAGAAGAAGCACCGGCUAACUCCGUGCCAGCAGCCGCGGUAAUACGGAGGGUGCGAGCGUUAAUCGGAAUUACUGGGCGUAAAGCGCAUGCAGGUGGUUGUUAAGUUCAGAUGUGAAAGACCCGGGGCGUCAACCUCGGAAUUGCAUUUGAAAACUGGCAGACUAGAGUACUGUAGAGGGGGUAGAAUUUCAGGUGUAGCGGUGAAAUGCGUAGAGAUCUGAAGGAAUACCGGUGGCGAAGGCGGCCCCCUCGGACAGAAUACUGACACUCAGAUGCGAAAAGCGUGGGGAGCAAACAGGAUUAGAUACCCUGGUAG
rnacentral:rRNA from 1 species